AUUGCAAACAUGUAGUAGAAGAAAUGGCAAGUCAUCCCAUGUAAAUGAGAUGUUCACACCAAUUUUUCCAUAAUUUCUCCAAAGAAAUUAAUUGCGAAUUAUAUCUGAAGAAGAGUAAAAAUGUAAUGAUCCAGUUAUAAAAAAGCCAGCUGUACCAUUAACAAUGCUAGCCUUCCCAUCACAUCAUUGUUGCUGAACUGUAUUGGUUAUUUACCAUUGGAUUCAGCUUUAGGCCUUUUUGAUGAGACUUGAGGAGUGAAGCGAAGUGAUAUUGGUCUGUUAUCAAUGCAUCACAUGACUUUAGUAAGCUUGAAAUAUAGGACUUAUUGACUGUUUAUUUACUUUUAUGAAAUGUUUUUGUCCUUUUCUGUGUUUGACAGUGUAAAUCACCUUUUAGUGUCAUUGUCUGGAAAAUGCAGCAUGGACAUUUUGUCCAAUAUCUCUUUUCUGUGUGUGUUUGACAAAAUAAAGAUUAAGUAUUUUCAAACAGUUGCUCAAACAUAUUGCACACAGGUGAGACGUGUCUUACAUACUUUGGACAGAAGUUCAGCCUGAAGUUAACCCAAAAGCAAUGGAAGAGGUGUACUGUGUACCAGAGAUUUGAGGUGUGUCAGAAAUCACAGAGGCGUGUGAUUGGUGGAGUCUUGGAGCUUUAUAAUAUGAGCUUCUUAGUGGCACGACGUUGAGCCACUGCAGAUGUUUUCCCCUUCCCGUGUCCCACAGCUGCUCCAGUUUGAUGCGUG